ACGUAGGUGGCAAGCGUUAUCCGGAUUUACUGGGUGUAAAGGGCGUGUAGGCGGCUCUGCAAGUCAGAUGUGAAAUUCCCGGGCUUAACCCGGGCGCUGCAUCUGAAACUGCAGAACUUGAGUACUGGAGAGGAUAGUGGAAUUCCUAGUGUAGCGGUAAAAUGCGUAGAUAUUAGGAGGAACACCAGUGGCGAAGGCGGCUAUCUGGACAGUAACUGACGCUGAGGCGCGAAAGCGUGGGGAGCAAACAG
rnacentral:rRNA from 1 species